rnacentral:rRNA from 1 species
UACGGAGGGAGCUAGCGUUGUUCGGAAUUACUGGGCGUAAAGCGCGCGUAGGCGGCUUUGCAAGUUAGAGGUGAAAGCCCGGAGCUCAACUUCGGAAUUGCCUUUAAAACUGCAUCGCUUGAAUCCGGGAGAGGUGAGUGGAAUUCCCAGUGUAGCGGUGAAAUGCGUAGAUAUUGGGAAGGACACCAGCGGCGAAAGCGCGCUACUGGGCCAUUACUGACACUCAUGGACGAAAGCUAGGGGAGCGAAAGGG